rnacentral:rRNA from 1 species
GAUGAACGCUAGCUACAGGCUUAACACAUGCAAGUCGAGGGGCAGCAUGGUCUUAGCUUGCUAAGGCCGAUGGCGACCGGCGCACGGGUGAGUAACACGUAUCCAACCUGCCGUCUACUCUUGGACAGCCUUCUGAAAGGAAGAUUAAUACAAGAUGGCAUCAUGAGUCCGCAUGUUCACAUGAUUAAAGGUAUUCCGGUAGACGAUGGGGAUGCGUUCCAUUAGAUAGUAGGCGGGGUAACGGCCCACCUAGUCUUCGAUGGAUAGGGGUUCUGAGAGGAAGGUCCCCCACAUUGGAACUGAGACACGGUCCAAACUCCUACGGGAGGCAGCAGUGAGGAAUAUUGGUCAAUGGGCGAGAGCCUGAACCAGCCAAGUAGCGUGAAGGAUGACUGCCCUAUGGGUUGUAAACUUCUUUUAUAAAGGAAUAAAGUCGGGUAUGGAUACCCGUUUGCAUGUACUUUAUGAAUAAGGAUCGGCUAACUCCGUGCCAGCAGCCGCGGUAAUACGGAGGAUCCGAGCGUUAUCCGGAUUUAUUGGGUUUAAAGGGAGCGUAGAUGGAUGUUUAAGUCAGUUGUGAAAGUUUGCGGCUCAACCGUAAAACUGCAGUUGAUACUGGAUGUCUUGAGUGCAGUUGAGGCAGGCGGAAUUCGUGGUGUAGCGGUGAAAUGCUUAGAUAUCACGAAGAACUCCGAUUGCGAAGGCAGCCUGCUAAGCUGCAACUGACAUUGAGGCUCGAAAGUGUGGGUAUCAAACAGGAUUAGAUACCCUGGUAGUCCACACGGUAAACGAUGAAUACUCGCUGUUUGCGAUAUACGGCAAGCGGCCAAGCGAAAGCGUUAAGUAUUCCACCUGGGGAGUACGCCGGCAACGGUGAAACUCAAAGGAAUUGACGGGGGCCCGCACAAGCGGAGGAACAUGUGGUUUAAUUCGAUGAUACGCGAGGAACCUUACCCGGGCUUAAAUUGCAGAUGAAUUACGGUGAAAGCCGUAAGCCGCAAGGCAUCUGUGAAGGUGCUGCAUGGUUGUCGUCAGCUCGUGCCGUGAGGUGUCGGCUUAAGUGCCAUAACGAGCGCAACCCUUGUUGUCAGUUACUAACAGGUCAUGCUGAGGACUCUGACAAGACUGCCAUCGUAAGAUGUGAGGAAGGUGGGGAUGACGUCAAAUCAGCACGGCCCUUACGUCCGGGGCUACACACGUGUUACAAUGGGGGGGUACAGAGGGCCGCUACCACGCGAGUGGAUGCCAAUCCCCAAAACCUCUCUCAGUUCGGACUGGAGUCUGCAACCCGACUCCACGAAGCUGGAUUCGCUAGUAAUCGCGCAUCAGCCACGGCGCGGUGAAUACGUUCCCGGGCCUUGUACACACCGCCCGUCAAGCUAUGGGAGCCGGGGGUACCUGAAGUGCGUAACCGCGAGGAGCGCCCUAGGGUAAAACUGGUGACUGGGGCUA